rnacentral:sRNA from 1 species
CCUGUGGGCAGGAAAACUGCUCCCCUUGUCCGUGCCUGCGGGUGGGACAGAUAAGGCUGCUCGUCCUGCGGGGGCCCCCAGCCCACCUGCUUCCUAUCCAUUUCCUGCAGGAUGGUGCCCCCUGCAUCCCCUUACCCAUCGCUCACGGAAGGAAAAGCAGACGUGGCCAGCCUGCAUCCUCUGCCCUCCCUGAGCCUCCUGGCCUGGCUGGCCACAGCUGGCAUGGACGCCAUCAGCAGGCUCCGUGCAGGCGGACGGGGCAGCCCCACAGCCAGGGCACCCCGGCCCUCACUCACCAGCACCCUUUUGUUCUUUUCCUAGCAAAAUAUGCAAAGUGUGACCAGUGUGGAAACCCAAAGGGCAACAGAUGUGUGUUCAGCCUGUGCCGCGGCUGCUGCAAGAAGCGAGCCUCCAAAGAGACUGCAGACUGCCCAGGUCACGGAUUGCUUUUUAAAACCAAAUUGGAGAAGUCUCUGGCCUGGAAAGAGGCCCAGCCUGAGCUGCAGGAGCCUCAGCCAGCAGCACCUGGAACACCAGGUGGCUUCUCCGAAGUCAUGGGCAGUGCCCUGGCCUGAAGGCCCAGAACCCCCACCCCCAGGACUGCUGCUGGAGCCUGGACACGUCCUACUUAAGAAAAUACCUUUUACUCAGGGAAUCUCCUGCUACUUAAUGUG